rnacentral:lncRNA from 1 species
UUUAUUAACAAGAUGCCUCUAGUGGUAGCUGAAGUACACAGCCAAAAAUAAAAAGGAGCUAACUACGAUUUCUAAGAAAUACUAUAGUGUAUCCCAUACAAGCAGUCUAAAAAUUGUCUAUGUAUAAAUAUACCAUGACCAUGUACUCAAUCUAAGAAUUAUCUAUGUGUAAAAAUAUUAUAACCAUGUACUACUUUUUAAUCAGGAAAAAGGUUAUUAAAUAUGCACAUGUAGUUGCAGAACAUGAAAAAAUCCUACAGCAAAUAACUGCAGUGUCUUUUAAUAUACCUAGUAUAUUAUAGAUGGAAAACAAAUUCCAACCAUAUGUAUGCUUAAUACUUAAAGCCCAUUAAAAUAAACCAAUAAAAAUGUUACGCUAUAACCCAUUCUAAUAUUAUGACAAGGCAAAUGCCAAGUAACAGUGCCAAGUUUACAGAAGUUCAAGUCUAUAUGAAUAUAGCCUAAGUUUUUAAAACAGAUUCUCAAAACAUAUUUCCCUACUACUUUGUAAAAUUGAGAGAUUUCCAUAGAAACAUACUAGUGCGUUUAGGUGAACUAUACUUGGGGGUGGG